CUUAGAGUUUGAUCCUGGCUCAAGACGAACGCUGGCGGCGUGCUUAACACAUGCAAGUCGAACGAAGAGCGAUGGAAGCUUGCUUCUAUCAAUCUUAGUGGCGAACGGGUGAGUAACGCGAUAAUCAACCUGCCCUCCAGAGGGGGACAACAGUUGGAAACGACCGCUAAUACCGCAUACAAUCUAUCCUCGGCAUCGAGGAUAGAUGAAAGGUGGCCUCUAUUUAUAAGCUAUCACUGAAAGAGGGGAUUGCGUCUGAUUAGCUAGUUGGAGGGGUAACGGCCCACCAAUGCGAUGAUCAGUACCCGGUCUGAGAGGAUGAACGGCCACGUUGGGACUGAGACACGGCCCAUACUCCUACGGGAGGCAGCAGUGGGGAAUCUUCCGCAAUGGACGACAGUCUGACGGAGCAACCCCGCUGAAGGGAUGACGGCCUUCGGGUUGUAAAGCUCUGUUAAUCGGGACGAAGGCCCUUCUUGCGAAUAGUUAGAAGGAUUGACGGUCCCGGAAUAGAAAGCCACGGCUAACUACCUGCCAUCAGCCGCGGUAAUACGUAGGGGCCAAGGUUUUUCCGGAAUUAUUUGGGCGUAAAGCGCGGGCAGGGGGAUUGGUCAGUCUGUUUUAAAAGUUCGGGGCUUAACCCCGUGAUGGGAUGGAGAACUCCCAAUCUAGAGUAUCGGAGAGGAAAGUGGAAUUCCUAGUGUAGCGGUGAAAUGCGUAGAUAUUAGGAAGAACACCAGUGGCGAAGGCGACUUUCUGGACGAAAACUGACGCUGAGGCGCGAAAGCCAGGGGAGCGAACGGGAUUAGAUACCCCGGUAGUCCUG
rnacentral:rRNA from 1 species